rfam:Onchocerca volvulus assembly O_volvulus_Cameroon_v3 genomic scaffold, OVOC_OM1b
AAAUCUUAGCAGUGGAUCACUUCGUUCAUGGAUCGAUGAAGAACGCAGCUAGCUGCGAAUAAAUUCGCAAAACCUGAUGUGACCUUUAAUAACUUUUCAUUCAAAAUCUAUGAUCUUUGAUAGUGAUAGCUAUUAAAGAAAGAGAUA